UGACACAUUUCCCAUAUACGUAGGUUGUUAUAAUAGUAGAGGUAGAGAAAUGUUACCAAUUUACCAUCACUGGUGUACUGUACAGACACACAAGGCUUAGUAAAAUCAAUGUGAUGUACAAAUGUCUAUCCUUUUGCCAGAUGCAAAAAAAGGAGUAUUUUGAGCACUUAGGUACAUGGAUCUUCUAUGGGGCAAGUAGAUCUAAGCAAUACAUGCAGUACAAUGUAUGCCUUUUUUUCUAUAGUUAAGGCACAAACCAGUGGCAGGGUAAUCUAUAGCUCAUGUAGGUGCAUUCUCUGAUCUAAAAGCAAUACACCAGUCAGUGGAGCAGCACUUGAAGCUGCCUCCUAUGGAAUCAGAACCAUUAAUCCUCAUAUGUCACACUCAUCACCUCCAGCCUUGCUGCCCAGAAUCCUUUCAAACAGAUCUCAUGGAUCGACCUGGGAUUUUCUUUGUGUACAGCUUAUAACAAUAUCUAUUUAUGCCUUCUAUCCCAACUCUGAACCACAAACAGGGACAGAUGCCUUCCUACUGUGAACAACAUGUGCAUUAUGAUGUGAUGGAAUUUUACAAAGAGAACUCUCCUAUGAGACAUUAUUGGACUUCUGAACUACUGAAGCUAUUUUUUGCUCAAGCAACAACAAAUGGCAGAGGUGCUCUAAUCUGGGAGCAGGUCAGCUUUGAAUUUAAUUAUUUGCUGGACAGCUACAGAGUGACAAUGAACUGCAUGCAUCUGCAGGAGUUACUGUGCUUUCAGUUCUAUGAUUUCAAAGGUAUUCGCAGAUGAACAAGAGCACAUGAGAAAUACAGCCAGAAGGCUUCCUCUCAUAAUUCCUGGACUAUGGAUGGAUGAAGCAGUCAGGUAGGCAAGCCCACAAAAGUUUAUAGUCUGCAAAUAUUUUUAUUAGCAUACUAAGAGCCUAUGCAUCCGUGCUAACAACAGAGGAGAGACAAUCUCCUCUCCACAGCUACCAUUUAAACAGGCGAUACUAAUGUCUUAGCAAGGUAGAGUUUUUUAAAGCAUUCUAUGAAAUAAAGGACAGCCAUCUUCCCUUCUCUUCA
rnacentral:lncRNA from 1 species